AAUGAUGAAUGUCAUAGAUUAGACAUAUAAUAGUUUAUUCUAUAAAUGAAAGUGUAAGCAUUCCACCUCAAGAGUAAUUUGGCAACAUUGGAACUGAAAUCAUUAGACCGUUUCUGAAACCAGUAGUGAAGUAUGUUGUUUAAUUUGAUAAUCCGCAAAAAACCUUACCACAAUUUGAAUAUUUAUAUUAUUUUUAUGCUCUAUUCAAUGAAAAGAAAAAAAAUGUAUUUACAAGCGUUGCACGGCUGUCUUCAGUUAAUGUCGUGAGACUUUGGUUAGUUCCAUUAAAUUAACGUAAACCCUCACUUUAUUUUUAUAUAAAGUAGUUCCCCACUAGAUUGGAUAAGAUAACAGGGACUAAGACAAGUCAUCAUGGCCUGAAUAUUGUGGGCUAUA
rnacentral:rRNA from 1 species